UACGUAGGUGGCAAGCGUUGUCCGGAUUUACUGGGCGUAAAGAGCGCGCAGGCGGUCGAUUAAGUCGAAUGUGAAAGCCCCCGGCUCAACUGGGGAGGGUCAUUCGAUACUGAUCGACUUGAAGGCAGGAGAGGGAAGUGGAAUUCCGGGUGUAGUGGUGAAAUGCGUAGAGAUCCGGAGGAACCCCAGAGGCGAAGGCGGCGUCCUGGCCCAUUUCUGACGUUCAGACAUGACAGCAUGGGGAGCGAACGGG
rnacentral:rRNA from 1 species